UAACUUUGUUACAGUAUACCCCAGUCUCACUUUACUAGCCUUUCUCUCUUAUGGGUUUGCUGCAUAGACAACUUGUACAAAGCCUUUAACCUCAAAUUUAACCUCUAACACUCUGAAAUCCACUCUUUUCCUGUCUCAGAUGAAGGUGUGGGAGAAUAAGAUGGGGCCCAUCUCCAUCCCAGAGAACAUCCCUUGCCUGUUUGACAUGGUGCGGGUGCAGGAUGAGAGUAUGAAGCCAGCCUUCUACUUUGCCCUGAGGGACACCCUGGUGGCCAAGGACCUGGAGUAGGCAACACUACUCGCCUUCCAGAAGGACAAACACUGGAGAGUGGUCACCAUGCAGGGACAGAUCAUAGAGAUGGCUGGUACCAUGACUGAAGGUGGAGCGAGAGUGAUGCGGGGCAGGAUGGGCUCCAUCGGCACUGAGGUCACCCAGCAGGAGCUGGACUGUAUGGAGAGCAAGCUGAUUGAGAAGGUGGUGCAGCUGCAGGGCUGCCAGGAGAGGAAGCUGCAGCUGGAGGAGAAAGUCCAGAGACUCUGACAGCAGCUCAGAGACAUGAAGAACACACCAAUAGCAUGCAGAGCUUGGCAGAGCAGGAGGCUCACCUGAAGCCUCAAAUUAAAGAGCUAGAGGCCAAUGUCCUGGCUGCUACCCCCGACAAGAACAAACAGUAACAGUUGGAGAAGACCCUGAAGGACUUCCAGAAAGGUGAGAACUUUGAACCCCAAAUGUAACGUGAAGUCACUUAGAAAUUGCAGGCUACACUGUCAGUUCUAGUCUUCAGGACAAUGAUCUGGCUCAAUUUGAGCUUUGCUACCGUGAACCCCAGUUUGACUCCACUAGGCAUUCUCCCUCAGGCUUGCUGCGGCGACAACUGGUACAUACAACUAGGGGUGUGCCGAUCUCGUCCUACUUGUAAUUGUAUCUUUUGUCACACUUGAUACUCGUAAUCGCUUUAAAUGCCAGUAAAGCCUAUACCUCAAGUGCGCUAUCACAGAGCGCAUCGCUAUGCUCACUCACAUAUUGUUCAAAUCAAAGAAAUGAGCCCAACAGCUGAAAAUGCACAUGAUUGAUUUACUUACUUUAGUCCUAUUAAAUGAAAAAUAAAUAAUGCAUGGCUGGCUACUGCUGCCUGUGUUUAUUCCAGACACAGAUUUAGGUAAAUUGCUUGCCCCAUAUAUUGUUUCACUUACGAGAAGAGCAAAACUUCUCUCCUGACACUUACGGCUCAACCUACACCCCGCCAAUUUAGUUAUUUAGAGCGCCCAGCGCUUCACACUUUCAAUAAUGUGCAACUGCAGCCUGCAAUUUCGGGUGUUCCUGCAUGUGGACAUUCCUGCGUCUGCAAAGGACACUGUCUACCGGUCGCCCCCGCCUCCAGCUAGCACCGCAGGCGGGAGCGACACCUGCGGUGUACCAGAGAGAACCAUGCCGACAGACGGGGGCGAAGGACACAGCCCACCGCUAGCUUCUCCAGGACACAGCCCACCGCUAGCUUCUCCAGGACACAGCCCACCGCCCAUC